rnacentral:rRNA from 1 species
GACGAACGCUGGCGGCGUGCUUAACACAUGCAAGUCGAACGGAAAGGCCCUGCUUUUGUGGGGUGCUCGAGUGGCGAACGGGUGAGUAACACGUGAGUAACCUGCCCUUGACUUUGGGAUAUCUUCAGAAAGGCGGGGAUACCACAGACAUGCGGCGCCGGCGGCUGGGGGGGGUUCGGAACUUUCGGUAGGUGGGGAUCGUUCUGCGGGUUAUCUAGUUGGUGGGGGGGGAGGGGACUAACAAGGCUUUGGCGGGUUGGCGGCCUGGGAGGGUGACCCGCGUCAUUGGGACUGAGAUACGGCCCAGACUGCUACGGGAGGCAGCAGUGGGGAAUAUUGCACAGUGGGCGGAAGCCUGAUGAAGCAACGCCGCGUGCGGGAUGACGGCCUUCGGGUGGUAAACCGCUUUCGCCUGAGACGAAGCGUGAGUGACGGUAAUGGGUAAAGAAGCACCGGCUAACUACGUG